rnacentral:tmRNA from 1 species
GGGGGCGAUACCGGUAUCGACUGCAUGUGGAACUAAUAGUUGCAUGGGGUAGUUGGUCAAAGGCUACGUUAAAAUUGACCACAACAUUUUAAUUGCCGAACCUAGUUUAGCAAUUGCAGCUUAAGCUGCGGGGGUGACGCGAACCUUUUUACCCAAUCGCGUUGACUUCGAUAACUCGAAUAGAGAAAGGAGAUUCUCGAUCCAAUAUCUCUGAUGGUUGUAUGCAACCCUGACUCCGAUAAUUCGGAUAGCUUUGUUCGUUGUGCGACUACAACGUACUAACCAUGUAGAUAUUGUUAAGGAAGUAUGACAGGACGCGGGUUCGAAUCCCGCCGCCUCCACUU